AAACUUACCAGGUCAAGACAUGGGCGUGAUUGACAGGCUAAUGACUUUUCUCGAUUCCAUGGAUGGUGGUGCAUGGUCGCACUUAGUUGGUGCAGUGAUUUGUCAGGUUUAUUCCGGUAACGAACGAGACCUCGGCCUUGUAAAUAGCUAUGCUGCUUACAGGGACAUUGGCGGCUACGCCAAGGAAGCUCGAGGCAAUUGCAGAUCUGGAAUGCCCUUAGAUGUCCUGGGUCGCACGCGUGCUACAAUGACGCCACGAACGAGCUUGCGUGAUGAAAGUUACGCAUAAUCAGCAGUCGGCGUCUUAAGGGAUAGUCUCUUGUAACUGUGGGACUCCAACUAGGAAUGUCUCGUAAGCACAAGUCAACAUCUUGUGUUGAUUACGUCCCUGCUCUUUGUGCACACCGCCCGUCGCUCCUACCGAUCGAGUGUUUAGGUGAAUUUGAUGGACGUAAGGAAGUCAAAUAAACCUGAGCACUAGAGAAGAGAAGUCGAGAUUU
rnacentral:rRNA from 1 species